CUGACACAGGGAGGUAGUGACAAUAAAUAACAAUACCGGGCGUUUUUACGUCUGGUAAUUGGAAUGAGAACAAUCUAAAUCCCUUAUCGAGGAUCAAUUGGAGGGCAAGUCUGGUGCCAGCAGCCGCGGUAAUUCCAGCUCCAAUAGCGUAUAUUUAAGUUGUUGCGGUUAAAAAGCUCGUAGUUGGAUUUCGGGCGUGGAAGUUCGGUCCGCCGUUUCGGUGUGCACUGUCUUUCUGCGUCUUUCUGUCGGGGACGCGCUUCUGGCCUUAAUUGGCUGGGACGUGGAUUCGACGAGGUUACUUUGAAAAAUUAGAGUGUUCAAAGCAAGCUAAAGCUCUGAAUACAUUAGCAUGGAAUAACGCGAGAGGACUCGGUCCUUAUUUUGUUGGUCUUCAAGGAUGGAGUAAUGAUUAAGAGGGACAGUUGGGGGCAUUCGUAUUUCAUUGCUAGAGGUGAAAUUCUUGGAUUUAUGAAAGACGAACUUCUGCGAAAGCAUUUGCCAAGGAUGUUUUCAUUG
rnacentral:rRNA from 1 species